AUCUAUCUAUCUAUCAUCUAUCAUCUAUCAUCUAUCAUCUAUAUUUCAAGCUUCAGGACCCCCAAAAUGUAGGUCCGCCACUGGAUGCAAGGCUCCUGUGUCCUUGCAAGGUUGAUGGCUGUCCUGCCCCACCCCAUCCUCCUCUCUCUCACACACAAACAUCAUUUUGACAGCUCAACACUAUUAAGCAGCACCAGGGACCAAGGUCUACCCAUCACUUUACUUGACUGCAAUGUCCCAAAGUGAAGCUACAUAUGAGGCAUUAGAAAGGUUGAAUCCAACACCCACUGCUUUUCAAAGUUCUGCUGCUGUGCACAGAUGACAAGUAAGCCUGCCAAGAAGAUUGCCCCGGGUCCCUCAAGCCUGGAGCCAGCCCGGCAAAGAGCAGGAUCCCCCUUCAAGAUACUGCACACGGCAAGUUGAACCCCUAAGUAAAUUUUGCUCAUUAUCCCAGUGUGUGACUGUUCAGCAUUUGCACUGCAGAUGUGCAAACAGCGACACAGAAACAAAGAAGAUGUCAUGGAUCAAGGAAGGGGAAAUGGAAGUAUAGUCCCAGAGAGUUAAGCGACGAUACAUGAGGCCAACACAUUGCUGAAGCUUGCCCCCAGAGAUGCAGGCGAUUUCAAGCAGAAUCCUAGCAGAUGGUUUUGGUGAUGUGAUGCACAAGAGGGUCUCUCCCAGGAGCUGACCCAAAAUGUGAACUGAUGCUGAAAUGUUCAAAGCUGAAAUUAAGACUUCAGGAAAAUGAGAAACCGAGAGAAACCAAAAUUGGCAACUAUGUCCAUCCCAAAACCCAAGGAGAUGACAACAACAGUAUCUCAACCACUCCAACAAAAGACACUGAUCUCAAAUGCAGGGCCCAAAUCAGUCCUGGGUGAAACUCAAGUAAGAGAUAUAGAACUUAAGCUGAGAAUUGCACCAAAGCAGAACUGGACUCUCUUCACCCUUUAGCCAGGAACUGACUGUGAUUCCCAAGCAAGCCCUUUGACCUCCCGACCUUGUAGUCAACUGUGAAAAUGGCUCCCAUCUAACAAAGCCUUUUCCCCAACAAAG